GGGGGAGUAGCUCAGGUGGGAGAGCGCCGCGUUCGCAACGCGGAGGUCGAGGGUUCAAAUCCCUUCUCCUCCACCA
rnacentral:tRNA from 1 species